CUAGUUGGUAGGGUAAAGGCCUACCAAGGCAUCGAUCAGUAGCUGGUCUGAGAGGACGACCAGCCACACUGGAAUUGAGACACGGUCCAGACUCCUACGGGAGGCAGCAGUGGGGAAUUUUGGACAAUGGGCGCAAGCCUGAUCCAGCAAUGCCGCGUGAGUGAAGAAGGCCUUCGGGUUGUAAAGCUCUUUUGUCAGGGAAGAAACGGGUGGGGCUAAUAUCCCCAUCUAAUGACGGUACCUGAAGAAUAAGCACCGGCUAACUACGUGCCAGCAGCCGCGGUAAUACGUAGGGUGCAAGCGUUAAUCGGAAUUACUGGGCGUAAAGCGUGCGCAGGCGGUUUUGUAAGUUUGUCGUGAAAUCCCCGGGCUUAACCUGGGAAUGGCGAUGAAGACUGCAAGGCUAGAGUUUGGCAGAGGGGGGUAGAAUUCCACGUGUAGCAGUGAAAUGCGUAGAGAUGUGGAGGAACACCGAUGGCGAAGGCAGCCCCCUGGGUCAAAACUGACGCUCAUGCACGAAAGCGUGGGGAGCAAACAGGAUUAGAUACCCUGGUAGUCCACGCCCUAAACGAUGUCUACUAGUUGUCGGGUCUUAAUUGACUUGGUAACGCAGCUAACGCGUGAAGUAGACCGCCUGGGGAGUACGGUCGCAAGAUUAAAACUCAAAGGAAUUGACG
rnacentral:rRNA from 1 species